UAGAUGCGAGAGUAGAGCAUAUCAAUAAGCGGAGGAAAAGAAACUAACAAGGAUUCCCUUAGUAACGGCGAGUGAAGCGGGAAGAGCUCAAAUUUGAAAUCUUCAAGGUUCUACCUUGACGAAUUGUAGUUUAUAGAAGUGUUUUCUGUUAGUGGAGUGGCAAAAGUUCUUUGGAAUAGGACAUCAUAGAGGGUGAGAAUCCCGUAUUUGGUCAUUCCUCCUAGCGUUGUGAUACACUUUCAACGAGUCGGAUUGUUUGGGAAUGCAGUCCAAAAUGGGCGGUAAAUUUCAUCUAAAGCUAAAUAUUGGCGAGAGACCGAUAGCGAACAAGUACCGUGAGGGAAAGAUGAAAAGAACUUUGAAAAGAGAGUUAAACAGUACGUGAAAUUGUCAAAAGGGAAGCGUUUGACACCAGUGUUGUUUUCUCGAAAAUCAAUUAAAAAUGAUGGGAUUUUGUGUUGUAUUGACUUUAUCAGCUUUCUGCACUUUUUUCUUAUCUUUUUUAAUGCACUUUUCGUUUAACAAGUCAACAUCAAUUUCUUUUGUUGUAAAAGAGUCAUUGGAAGGUGGCUUUUUCUUCGGAAAAAGUGUUUAUAGCCUUUGGCUUCUGCAAUCGGAGAGACUGAGGUCUGCAGCGUAGACUCUUCGGGGUUAAAUACAUUUGUGCUAAGCUAUAGCUUUUUAUAGACAACUUGUUGACUAUAUUUAGUCUUGUGGCUUACUCGCUUAUGCUAUUUUACCUACGCUUAGGAUGUUGACGCGCGUGUGUGCGUG
rnacentral:rRNA from 1 species